CAUCCCGACAGUCGGUGGCCUCACUCUUUGCUCCCUAUCUAGUGGCUGCCAGUAGAGAGCCAAGGAAACACUCCUUUGACUGAGUCUGUCAGAACACAGGUGCAACAGUCAAAGCAGAAAGUCUGCCUUCUGAGGCUAUCGUUUAUUGAGCAUCUACAUGACUGUCACUCAGCUUGGACUCUGCAUGCACUCUCUCAGUUUCCACAAUAACCUGAGCAGACCCACUUUCUCUGGACAGCACAACUGAAAAGAACCUGGUCUUGGUCAAAGGUACUCAGCUGCACAGUGUCUCCCCAAACCAGGCCCAUCUGGAGCCCCCAAAUGUGGUCUCAUUUGGAAGUAAGGUCUUUGCAGAUGUAAUUAUCCAAGAUGAAGUUAAGCGUCCAGUAACAAGUGUCCUUGUGAGAUGAGACAUAGAGGAUGCAGACACAGACACUGGAGCUCUACACCAUAAGCCAACAGUUGCCAAGAGCUGUACGCAGCCACCUGAAACUAAGAGAGAAGCAUGGAAGAUUCCCCUCACAGCCCUCCCAAGGAACCCGAUUUUGGACUUCUAGCCUCUAGAACUGCAUGUUUGUGAUGUGACGGCCGGACUGCCACAAGUGGCGCCCGAACAGGGACCUGAGUAUCGAGGGAUCCAGUGAAGGACACCACAGAGAAGA